rnacentral:rRNA from 1 species
AGAUUAAGUUAUUAAGGGCGCACGGUGGAUACCUUGGCACUAGAAGCCUAUGAAGGACGUUACUAACGACGAUAUGCUUUGGGGAGCUGUAAGUAAGCUUUGAUCCAGAGAUUUCCGAAUGGGGAAACCCAGCACGAGUUAUGUCGUGUUAUCGAUAUGUGAAUACAUAGCAUAUUCGAAGGCAGACGCGGAGAACUGAAACAUCUUAGUACCCGCAGGAAGAGAAAGAAAAAUCGAUUCCCUGAGUAGCGGCGAGCGAAACGGGAAGAGCCCAAACCAACGAGCUUGCUUGUUGGGGUUGUAGGACACUCUAUACGGAGUUACAAAAGAACAAAUUAGACGAAUCAUCUGGAAAGAUGAAUCAAAGAAGGUAAUAAUCCUGUAGUCGAAAGUUUGUUCACUCUUGAGUGGAUCCUGAGUACGGCGGAACACGAGAAAUUCCGUCGGAAUCCGGGAGGACCAUCUCCCAAGGCUAAAUACUCUCUAGUGACCGAUAGUGAACCAGUACCGUGAGGGAAAGGUGAAAAGUACCCCGGAAGGGGAGUGAAAUAGAACUUGAAACCGUGUGCUUACAAGUAGUCAGAGCCCGUUAAUGGGUGAUGGCGUGCCUUUUGUAGAAUGAACCGGCGAGUUACGAUUUGAUGCAAGGUUAAGCAGUAAAUGUGGAGCCGUAGCGAAAGCGAGUCUGAAUAGGGCGUUGAGUAUUUGGUCGUAGACCCGAAACCAGGUGAUCUACCCAUGACCAGGCUGAAGUUCAGGUAACACUGAAUGGAGGGCCGAACCGACUUACGUUGAAAAGUGAGCGGAUGAGUUGUGGGUAGCGGAGAAAUUCCAAUCGAACCUGGAGAUAGCUGGUUCUCUCCGAAAUAGCUUUAGGGCUAGCCUCAAGUGAUGAUUAUUGGAGGUAGAGCACUGUUUGGACGAGGGGCCCUUAUCGGGUUACCGAAUUCAGACAAACUCCGAAUGCCAAUCAAUUUAACUUGGGAGUCAGAACGCGGGUGAUAAGGUCCGUGUUCGAGAGGGAAACAGCCCAGACCACCAGCUAAGGUCCCAAAAUAUAUGUUAAGUGGAAAAGGAUGUGGCGUUGCCCAGACAACUAGGAUGUUGGCUUAGAAGCAGCCAUCAUUUAAAGAGUGCGUAAUAGCUCACUAGUCGAGUGACACUGCGCCGAAAAUGUACCGGGGCUAAACAUAUUACCGAAGCUGUGGAUUGUCCGUAGGACAAUGGUAGGAGAGCGUUCUAAGGGCGUUGAAGCAUGAUCGCAAGGACAUGUGGAGCGCUUAGAAGUGAGAAUGCCGGUGUGAGUAGCGAAAGACGGGUGAGAAUCCCGUCCACCGAUUGACUAAGGUUUCCAGAGGAAGGCUCGUCCGCUCUGGGUUAGUCGGGUCCUAAGCUGAGGCCGAUAGGCGUAGGCGAUGGAUAACAGGUUGAUAUUCCUGUACCACCAAAAUUCGUUUUGAGCGAUGGGGGGACGCAGUAGGAUAGGCGAAGCGUGCUGUUGGAGUGCACGUCCAAGCAAUAAGACUGAGUAUUAGGCAAAUCCGGUACUCUUAAGGUCAAGUUGUGAUGGGGAGAGGAAAUUUUUUCCU